AGGUAAUGGCUCACCAAGGCGACGAUCCGUAACUGGUCUGAGAGGAUGAUCAGUCACACUGGAACUGAGACACGGUCCAGACUCCUACGGGAGGCAGCAGUGGGGAAUAUUGGACAAUGGGCGAAAGCCUGAUCCAGCCAUGCCGCGUGUGUGAAGAAGGUCUUCGGAUUGUAAAGCACUUUAAGUUGGGAGGAAGGGCAGUAACUUAAUACGUUGCUGUUUUGACGUUACCGACAGAAUAAGCACCGGCUAACUCUGUGCCAGCAGCCGCGGUAAUACAGAGGGUGCAAGCGUUAAUCGGAAUUACUGGGCGUAAAGCGCGCGUAGGUGGUUCGUUAAGUUGGAUGUGAAAUCCCCGGGCUCAACCUGGGAACUGCAUUCAAAACUGUCGAGCUAGAGUAUGGUAGAGGGUGGUGGAAUUUCCUGUGUAGCGGUGAAAUGCGUAGAUAUAGGAAGGAACACCAGUGGCGAAGGCGACCACCUGGACUGAUACUGACACU
rnacentral:rRNA from 1 species